CUCUAUUUUAAGAGUUGUGCUAGCAAUGGAUGCUGGGAAUAGAGCAAGUAACUUGUUUGAAAUGUGAAGGAUGUACAGGAGUCAGCUAUACACAAGAGAAAAGAGGUAGAGCUUAUAAUUCAAGUGAUAUUUAAACUGAAACUAGUUGACUGAUAUGAUCCCAUAGUUAAGUGUGCUUUAUGGUUUGAGUCCUAGUUGAGUUUAAUGAUUUUGGUUUGAAUCCUAGUUGAGUUUAAUGAUUUUGCCCUUUUUUCCAGAGCUGGAUAAAAAGAGGAGAGCUAGAAAUAUCUUGACAUUGGGAGAGAUUCAUAAAUUCUGUGAAUGUAGAAUAAUAAAUUCUCUUUUAUCCACAACCCUAUUUUAAGCAUCACAACUCUAUUUCUUUCAUUGCUGGAUAAUUAUGGCACAGGCUAAUACAGCAAAGGCAAUACAUGGGCACUUCCUUUCUGUCCAUUGCAAGUCUGAGUGUUCCCCAUUCUUUAGAGCAGGCCAGUGACUGCAAAAUUAUGCAUAAGUAAACCCCUUUGAAAGUUCCUGAAGGACUUCAUUGUUUUAUUGAGAAAACAAAAGCAUUGGCUAUUUCUGGUAUUUUUGCUCAAUAAUGUCUAUACAUGCAAAUGUGAGAUAUUUCAUAUAAACAUGUACGUAUGUUAAGUAUGUAUAUGUUUAUGGGCAUGUGUGUAUAUAAUUUAAAACGUUAGUUUUGUUUUCAAUGUAUCAAUGAAACUUUAAGAUCUCUAAGUACAGGAAAGAGUUCAUUUUUGCAAGUCAUAUGAAGAGAAAUACUGAAAAUUUUCAUGUUUCAGAUUUCCCAUCUUCUAGGAGUACUACACGCAGUUAUUUCUAUAAAGUAAAUUAAAAGCUCCGCUUCCCUAAGAAAGCUCAGUUCAAACAGGCGACCAGGUCCUCUUCCGUAAGGGUUCUUGGAUGACGUCAAUCGUCAAAUACUGGGGAGAAACAUCAGGAACAAACGGGUAACAGAAAUGUGGCAGAAGCAAUUUUCUCCCUAUCAUUAGAUCCUGCCAUUGUUAUCACAGCAGGAGUAUUUUCAGAAGAUGAAUCUCGUUUGGGGUUUUCUAAGUGUCUGAGCUUGAGGAGUUUUUCCAUACAUCUAUGGAUGUGUUUCCCAGCAGUGGUGUCAGGUAUGCUUGUGCUUAAAUAUGCUAAUGGGAGCACCCCAGCUGGGAGGGGAUGCUGCAGGUGCAGAGGAGCGGAGGGGGACCCGCUGGAGCUGCUCCUGGAGCAAACGGAGGUGUGAGGUCGCAUCUCAGGUAGAGAGGAGGCUGCACCCGGAGCUUGGUGCUGGAGGAGGAAACACCGAGCAGGAGAGCACAGAUGCAGUGGGCGAGGCUUCUGGAAAACCUUGGCUACCUCAAUGUUCUCUGAAAUGAGAGGCAAUUGGCGUGAAUCCAGAACCGGGUCAGCGAAUCCCUAGGGUCCCACUUUGGCUUGACGUUCACGGAAUUCCCAGCAGUGUGAAGAUGGACUAAUACAGCCAGUCAUUGUGACAAGGUAGAAGA
rnacentral:lncRNA from 10 species